UUCUAUAUCAGUUUCUUGAUUGUGAGGGAUCUAAUAUUGAAAAGGGUAAAACAAAGAGGCAGAUACUAUCGCUUGGUGCUGGAUUUGAUACCACCAAUUUUCAAUUGCAGGAUGAGGGAAAAGCAUCGUAUCUAUACGUGGAACUGGAUUUUAAAGAGGUAACCAGUAAAAAGGCUUCCCUUAUUGAAUCCUACAGUCAGUUGAGGGACAAAAUUGGUGCAACAGCAUCAAUCUUGCGAGAGAAUGGAGAAGUGCUCAGUGAACACUACAAGCUACUUUCAGUUGAUUUGCAUGACAUUCAUAUCUUUGCAGAGUUCAUAUCAGUAGCGUUACAAGCAAUGGGCUAAUUAUUACAAUCAAACGGAAGUUACUUGUGCCCCUGGAACAUAAAUAGAAUUGUACAGGAAUUGUUAUCAAAGUAAUGCUAAAGGAUUUGCUUAAGUGGGUAGAGGGAUAGGAAUGGAUUUCUUUAUAAACUGUUAUCCAAUUAAUGCUUGUUGUGUGUGA